rnacentral:rRNA from 1 species
CAGCAGCCGCGGGAACACGUAGGGUGCGAGCGUUAAUCGGAAUUACUGGGCGUAAAGCGUGCGCAGGCGGUUAUAUAAGACAGAUGUGAAAUCCCCGGGCUCAACCUGGGACCUGCAUUUGUGACUGUAUAGCUAGAGUACGGUAGAGGGGGAUGGAAUUCCGCGUGUAGCGGUGAAAUGCGUAGAUAUGCGGAGGAACACCGAUGGCGAAGGCAAUCCCCUGGACCUGUACUGACGCUCAUGCACGAAAGCGUGGGGAGCAAACAGGAUUAGAUACCCCUGUAGUCCCUGUCUCUUAUCC